GAGAGACCAUUUAUCUUUCAAGUUUCUCUAGAAGGGUCUCGCGUCCGAAGUCGGUGGCGAGUGCCCAA
rnacentral:snRNA from 1 species